rnacentral:rRNA from 1 species
UACGUAGGGUGCAAGCGUUGUCCGGAAUCAUUGGGCGUAAAGCGCGCGUAGGCGCCCGAUAAGUCCGCUGUAAAAGUCAACGGCUCAACUGUUGAAAGCCGGUGGAUACUGUCGGGCUAGAGUACGGAAGAGGCAAGUGGAAUUCCUGGUGUAGCGGUGGAAUGCGCAGAUAUCAGGAGGAACACCUAUAGCGAAGGCAGCUUGCUGGGACGUUACUGACGCUAAGGCGCGAAAGCGUGGGGAGCGAACAGG